rnacentral:lncRNA from 1 species
CGGGAAAGGAGGCGGGAAGGCCGAGAACAAGGUGAAAGCCAGGAAGAUGGGUGAAUUGUUGUUUAAAACAUCUCAGAAUAUAUACAUGAGCAGAAUGAGCAGAACAGAAGUUAAAGAUAGAGCUUCUUCCAGCGCAGGUGAGGCCAGUAAUCAAAUCCCACUGGUGUGUAUGUCCGUAAAAGAGAACUUAGUUGAAAUCGACCUGGCAUCCCAGCUCCUGGGGACAGGCAAGCAGAAGCCGGGGGCAGGAGGGACGUGGUGAUGUGCGGGGUCCUCGCUCUCCCCGGCUCCGCUCAGAAGAGCAAGGUGCCGCCCCCCACUAGGGGAGCUGGAGAAGGGGUUAGGUGGAGUUGGGGAGGCACGGAGGGUCCCUGGUAGCGGGGUGCUGGCAAGCAGGCUCUCCAGGGAAAAGCGAAAAUGAAGCCCCUGGUUGGAAGCAUUUGCACAUCCUCCCACCACCGCUGUUUAAACUGCCCCAGGGGCAGCACCAGCUCACAAA